GACGAACGCUUGCGGCGUGCUUAACACAUGCAAGUCGAACGGAAAGGCCCUGCUUUUGUGGGGUGCUCGAGUGGCGAACGGGUGAGUAACACGUGAGUAACCUGCCCUUGACUUUGGGAUAACUUCAGGAAACUGGGGCUAAUACCGGAUAGGAGCUCCUGCUGCAUGGUGGGGGUUGGAAAGUUUCGGCGGUUGGGGAUGGACUCGCGGCUUAUCAGCUUGUUGGUGGGGUAGUGGCUUACCAAGGCUUUGACGGGUAGCCGGCCUGAGAGGGUGACCGGCCACAUUGGGACUGAGAUACGGCCCAGACUCCUACGGGAGGCAGCGGUGGGGAAUAUUGCACAAUGGGCGGAAGCCUGAUGCAGCAACGCCGCGUGCGGGAUGACGGCCUUCGGGUUGUAAACCGCUUUCGCCUGUGACGAAGCGUGAGUGACGGUAAUGGGUAAAGAAGCACCGGCUAACUACGUGCCAGCAGCCGCGGUGAUACGUAGGGUGCGAGCGUUGUCCGGAUUUAUUGGGCGUAAAGGGCUCGUUGGUGGUUGAUCGCGUCGGAAGUGUAAUCUUGGGGCUUAACCCUGAGCGUGCUUUCGAUACGGGUUGACUUGAGGAAGGUAGGGGAGAAUGGAAUUCCUGGUGGAGCGGUGGAAUGCGCAGAUAUCAGGAGGAACACCAGUGGCGAAGGCGGUUCUCUGGGCCUUUCCUGACGCUGAGGAGCGAAAGCGUGGGGAGCGAACAGGCUUAGAUACCCUGGUAGUCCACGCUGUAAACGGUGGGUACUAGGUGUGGGGUCCAUUCCACGGGUUCCGUGCCGUAGCUAACGCUUUAAGUACCCCGCCUGGGGAGUACGGCCGCAAGGCUAAAACUCAAAGGAAUUGACGGGGCCCCGCACAAGCGGCGGAGCAUGCGGAUUAAUUCGAUGCAACGCGUAGAACCUUACCUGGGUUUGACAUGGAUCGGGAGUGCUCAGAGAUGGGUGUGCCUCUUUUGGGGUCGGUUCACAGGUGGUGCAUGGCUGUCGUCAGCUCGUGUCGUGAGAUGUUGGGUUAAGUCCCGCAACGAGCGCAACCCUUGUUCACUGUUGCCAGCACGUUAUGGUGGGGACUCAGUGGAGACCGCCGGGGUCAACUCGGAGGAAGGUGGGGAUGACGUCAAGUCAUCAUGCCCCUUAUGUCCAGGGCUUCACGCAUGCUACAAUGGCUGGUACAGAGAGUGGCGAGCCUGUGAGGGUGAGCGAAUCUCGGAAAGCCGGUCUCAGUUCGGAUUGGGGUCUGCAACUCGACCUCAUGAAGUCGGAGUCGCUAGUAAUCGCAGAUCAGCAACGCUGCGGUGAAUACGCUCCCGGG
rnacentral:rRNA from 1 species